rnacentral:ncRNA from 1 species
UAUUUAAGUUCGACCCUUGAAGACUGAAGUGGAGAAGGGUUCCACGUGAACAGUAGUUGAAUGUGGGUCAGUCGAUCCUAAGAUACUGGCUUAUGCUAUGUAUCAUUGAGAGGGAAAAGUUCACUUUUCUCUCGGAUAUCGAAAGGGAAUAGGGUUAAUAUUCCCUAACGUAGACACAGAGAUUGUGAUUCGUAUGAGUCGCUUGCGCGGUAACGCAUUCGAACUUGAUUACGUCGCUCAGAGAUCGAGCUAGAGUUCUCUUCUCUAGUUAAGGAACGGACUCCCUGGAAUCGGUUCAGCCGUAGAUAGGGACGUUGUUUCCGUAAAGCAUCGCGGUUUCUGUGAUGUCUCGUGUUCUCUGGACGAUCCGUGAAAAAUCAAGGAAGGCUAUUAAUCUGUGCUACAUCGUACCGAUAUCCGCAUCAGGUCUCCAAGGUGAACAGCCUCUAGUC